GCAUAAGACCACAGUACCGCAUGGUACAGUGAUCAAAGGAUUUAUUCGCUGAAGGAUGGCUUCGCGUCCGAUUAGGUAGUUGGUGAGGUAACGGCCCACCAAGCCUACGAUCGGUAGCCGGACUGAGAGGUUGAUCGGCCACAUUGGGACUGAGACACGGCCCAGACUCCUACGGGAGGCAGCAUG
rnacentral:rRNA from 1 species